ACAGGCUGGUCCAGAUCCUCAAUCUACAGGCUGGUCCUAGAUCCUCAAACUACAGGCUGGUCCUAGGUCCUCAAUCUACAUGCUGGUCCUAGAUCGUCAAUCUACAGGCUGGUCCUAGAUCCUCAAUCUACAGGUUGGUCCUAGAUCCUGAAUCUACAGGCUGGUCCUAGAUCCUCAAUCUACAGGCUGGUCCUAGAUCCUCAAUCUAGAGGGUUGUCCUAGAUCCUCAAUCUACAGGCUGGUCCUAGAUCCUCAAUCUACAGGCUUGUCCUAGAUCCUCAAUCUACAGGCUGGUCCUAGAUCCUCAAACUACAGGCUGG
ensembl:lncRNA